UACGUAGGGGGCUAGCGUUGUCCGGAAUCAUUGGGCGUAAAGCGCGUGUAGGCGGUCCGGUAAGUCCGCUGUGAAAGUCGGGGGCUCAACCCUCGGAUGCCGGUGGAUACUGUCGGGCUUGAGUACGGAAGAGGCGAGUGGAAUUCCUGGUGUAGCGGUGAAAUGCGCAGAUAUCGGGAGGAACACCAAUAGCGAAGGCAGCUCGCUGGGACGUGACUGACGCUGAGACGCGAAAGCGUGGGGAGCAAACAGG
rnacentral:rRNA from 1 species